rnacentral:rRNA from 1 species
UACAGAGGUCUCAAGCGUUGUUCGGAUUCAUUGGGCGUAAAGCGUGUGUAGGUGGAUCGUUAAGUACCUUGUGAAAUCCCACGGCUUAACCGUGGAACUGCUUGGUAUACUGGCGGUCUUGAGCCAGCUAGGGGCUACCGGAACAAAUGGUGGAGCGGUGAAAUGCGUAGAUAUCAGGAGGAACACCGAUGGCGAAGGCAGCUUCCUGGUCCAAUUCUGACGCUGAGGUGCGAAAGCGUGGGUAGCAAACAGG